UGUUAUUGGAUUACUCACAAAGAUUAAGAAAGUAGAAACUAGAAUGGUAAUGAAAAACACCGCCAACCCGCGGCAAAGGGACAUUCGGGAGAUUGAACUUUUAAUAGCAAAGUAAGUAUGUCAGUUUGAAUUAAAAAUUUGUUACUAUAAAUGUUUUUUCUCUUAUGAUGGAAUAAAAAUUGUAUAUUAUGGCACAAAUUAUAGGGAUCAUAAAGUGAGGAUAACACUAUGGGAAAAUUUAGCUCAUUCUUUGAAUGAAGAUUUUAUUGGCAAACAAACUGUUGUAAUAGUUACAUCAACAAUGGUGGAUGGAAUGCAAGAUAUGAUAUUUUUGAAGUCCGGAAAUGGCACAAGAUUAUAUACAAAUUUAGAUAUACCAGAAACAUGGAAGCUUAUUGACAGUCUCCAAUAUGAAGAAAAUGUUGCAAAACUGAUGGAAGUAGAUAAAAGUACACAAGGUACACUUGAGGAGCAAAUGUUUUACAACAGAAGAACUUUGUUCGAAAUUACUCAAAUGAGACAUGACAACC